AUUGAACGCUGGCGGCAGGCCUAACACAUGCAAGUCGAGCGAGCGGCGGACGGGUGAGUACUGUCUGGGAAACUGCCUGAUGGAGGGGGAUAACUACUGGAAACGGUAGCUAAUACCGCAUACCAUCAGAUGUGCCCAGAUGGGAGUAGCUAGUAGGUUGGGUAACGGCUCACCUAGGCGACGAUCCCUAGCUGGUCUGAGAGGAUGACCAAGAACACGGGAACGGAGACACGGUCCAGAUUCCUACGGGAGGCAGCAGUGGGAAAUAGUGCACAAGGGGCGCAAGCCUGAUGCAGCCAUGCCGCGGUGGUGAAGAAGGCCUUCGGGUUGUAAAGCACUUUCAGCGGGGAGGCGUUACCCGCAGAAGAAGCACCGGCUAACUCCGUGCCAGCAGCCGCGGUAAUUC
rnacentral:rRNA from 1 species